UUAAGUUAGAAAGGGCGCACGGUGGAUGCCUUGGCACUAGGAGCCGAUGAAGGACGGGACGAACACCGAUAUGCUUCGGGGAGCUGUAAGCAAGCUUUGAUCCGGAGAUUUCCGAAUGGGGAAACCCACCACUCGUAAUGGAGUGGUAUCCAUAUCUGAAUACAUAGGAUAUGAGAAGGCAGACCCGGGGAACUGAAACAUCUAAGUACCCGGAGGAAGAGAAAGCAAAUGCGAUUCCCUGAGUAGCGGCGAGCGAAACGGGAUCAGCCCAAACCAAGAGGCUUGCCUCUUGGGGUUGUAGGACACUCUGUACGGAGUUACAAAGGAACGAGGUAGAUGAAGAGGUCUGGAAAGGCCCGCCAUAGGAGGUAACAGCCCUGUAGUCAAAACUUCGUUCUCUCCUGAGUGGAUCCUGAGUACGGCGGAACACGUGAAAUUCCGUCGGAAUCCGGGAGGACCAUCUCCCAAGGCUAAAUACUCCCUAGUGACCGAUAGUGAACCAGUACCGUGAGGGAAAGGUGAAAAGCACCCCGGAAGGGGAGUGAAAGAGAUCCUGAAACCGUGUGCCUACAAGUAGUCAGAGCCCGUUAACGGGUGAUGGCGUGCCUUUUGUAGAAUGAACCGGCGAGUUACGAUCCCGUGCAAGGUUAAGCAGAAGAUGCGGAGCCGCAGCGAAAGCGAGUCUGAAUAGGGCGAAUUGAGUACGUGGUCGUAGACCCGAAACCAGGUGAUCUACCCAUGUCCAGGGUGAAGUUCAGGUAACACUGAAUGGAGGCCCGAACCCACGCACGUUGAAAAGUGCGGGGAUGAGGUGUGGGUAGGGGUGAAAUGCCAAUCGAACCUGGAGAUAGCUGGUUCUCUCCGAAAUAGCUUUAGGGCUAGCCUCAAGGUAAGAGUCUCGGAGGUAGAGCACUGAUUGGACUAGGGGCCCCUACCGGGUUACCGAAUUCAGUCAAACUCCGAAUGCCGAUGACUUAUCCUUGGGAGUCAGACUGCGAGUGAUAAGAUCCGUAGUCGAAAGGGAAACAGCCCAGACCGCCAGCUAAGGUCCCAAAGUAUACGUUAAGUGGAAAAGGAUGUGGAGUUGCUUAGACAACCAGGAUGUUGGCUUAGAAGCAGCCACCAUUUAAAGAGUGCGUAAUAGCUCACUGGUCGAGUGACUCUGCGCCGAAAAUGUACCGGGGCUAAACGUAUCACCGAAGCUGCGGACUGUUCUUCGAACAGUGGUAGGAGAGCGUUCUAAGGGCUGUGAAGCAAGACCGGAAGGACUUGUGGAGCGCUUAGAAGUGAGAAUGCCGGUAUGAGUAGCGAAAGAGGGGUGAGAAUCCCCUCCACCGAAUGCCUAAGGUUUCCUGAGGAAGGCUCGUCCGCUCAGGGUUAGUCGGGACCUAAGCCGAGGCCGAAAGGCGUAGGCGAUGGACAACAGGUUGAUAUUCCUGUACCACCUCCUCACCAUUUGAGCAAUGGGGGGACGCAGGAGGAUAGGGUAAGCGCGGUAUUGGAUAUCCGCGUCCAAGCAGUUAGGCUGGGAAAUAGGCAAAUCCGUUUCCCGUGAAGGCUGAGCUGUGAUGGCGAGCGAAUUAUAGUAGCGAAGUUCCUGAUUCCACACUGCCAAGAAAAGCCUCUAGCGAGGUGAGAGGUGCCCGUACCGCAAACCGACACAGGUAGGCGAGGAGAGAAUCCUAAGGUGAUCGAGAGAACUCUCGUUAAGGAACUCGGCAAAAUGACCCCGUAACUUCGGGAGAAGGGGUGCUCUGUUAGGGUGCAAGCCCGAGAGAGCCGCAGUGAAUAGGCCCAGGCGACUGUUUAGCAAAAACACAGGUCUCUGCGAAGCCGUAAGGCGAAGUAUAGGGGCUGACGCCUGCCCGGUGCUGGAAGGUUAAGAGGAGCGCUUAGCGUAAGCGAAGGUGCGAAUUGAAGCCCCAGUAAACGGCGGCCGUAACUAUAACGGUCCUAAGGUAGCGAAAUUCCUUGUCGGGUAAGUUCCGACCCGCACGAAAGGCGCAACGAUCUGGGCACUGUCUCAACGAGAGACUCGGUGAAAUUAUAGUACCUGUGAAGAUGCAGGUUACCCGCGACAGGACGGAAAGACCCCGUGGAGCUUUACUGCAGCCUGAUAUUGAAUGUUGGUACAGCUUGUACAGGAUAGGUAGGAGCCUUGGAAACCGGAGCGCCAGCUUCGGUGGAGGCAUCGGUGGGAUACUACCCUGGCUGUAUUGACCUUCUAACCCGCCGCCCUUAUCGGGCGGGGAGACAGUGUCAGGUGGGCAGUUUGACUGGGGCGGUCGCCUCCUAAAAGGUAACGGAGGCGCCCAAAGGUUCCCUCAGAAUGGUUGGAAAUCAUUCGCAGAGUGUAAAGGCACAAGGGAGCUUGACUGCGAGACCUACAAGUCGAGCAGGGACGAAAGUCGGGCUUAGUGAUCCGGUGGUUCCGCAUGGAAGGGCCAUCGCUCAACGGAUAAAAGCUACCCCGGGGAUAACAGGCUUAUCUCCCCCAAGAGUCCACAUCGACGGGGAGGUUUGGCACCUCGAUGUCGGCUCAUCGCAUCCUGGGGCUGUAGUCGGUCCCAAGGGUUGGGCUGUUCGCCCAUUAAAGCGGUACGCGAGCUGGGUUCAGAACGUCGUGAGACAGUUCGGUCCCUAUCCGUCGCGGGCGCAGGAAAUUUGAGAGGAGCUGUCCUUAGUACGAGAGGACCGGGAUGGACGCACCGCUGGUGUACCAGUUGUUCUGCCAAGGGCAUCGCUGGGUAGCUAUGUGCGGACGGGAUAAGUGCUGAAAGCAUCUAAGCAUGAAGCCCCCCUCAAGAUGAGAUUUCCCAUUCCGCAAGGAAGUAAGAUCCCUGAAAGAUGAUCAGGUUGAUAGGUCUGAGGUGGAAGUGUGGCGACACAUGGAGCUGACAGAUACUAAUCGAUCGAGGACUUAACCAA
rnacentral:rRNA from 1 species